rnacentral:tRNA from 1 species
GGUUGUGGCUUAGUGGUAGGGCACUUGUCUCACAUGCAUGAGGCACUGAGUUCAAUCCUCAGCACCA